rnacentral:lncRNA from 1 species
AGCCACCAUGCCUGGCCCUAAUUGAGAUGGAGUCUCACUCUGUCGCGCAGGCUGGAGUGCAGUGGCGGGAUCUUGACUCACUGCAAGCUCCACCUCCCGGGUUCACGCCAUUCUCCUGCCUCAGCCUCCCGAGGAGCUGGGACUACAGGCGCCCGCCACCACGCCCGGCUGAUUUUUGUAUUUUUAGUAGAGACGGGGUUUCACCGUGUUAGACAGGAUGGUCUUGAUCUCCUGACCUCGUGAUCUGCCCGCCUCGGCCUCCUAAAGUGCUGGGAUUACAGGCGUGAGCCUGGCCCUUUUUUAUAUUUUUUUUAGUAGAGAUGGGGUUUCACCAUG